rnacentral:rRNA from 2 species
UUUUAUGGAGAGUUUGAUCCUGGCUCAGGAUGAACGCUGGCGGCGUGCCUAAUACAUGCAAGUCGAGCGAACGGACGAGAAGCUUGCUUCUCUGAUGUUAGCGGCGGACGGGUGAGUAACACGUGGAUAACCUACCUAUAAGACUGGGAUAACUUCGGGAAACCGGAGCUAAUACCGGAUAAUAUUUUGAACCGCAUGGUUCAAAAGUGAAAGACGGUCUUGCUGUCACUUAUAGAUGGAUCCGCGCUGCAUUAGCUAGUUGGUAAGGUAACGGCUUACCAAGGCAACGAUGCAUAGCCGACCUGAGAGGGUGAUCGGCCACACUGGAACUGAGACACGGUCCAGACUCC